UGUGUAUCUAGCUUUUCAGACUGCUCAAUUGACCUGUAGAUGGAUGUCUUCAAAGAUGGAAGAGGUCAGAAACAGAAUUCACCCUGCAGGUAGAAGACACCGACGCAGUACCAGUGAAACCCUCUGCCUGUACUUUGGGAUAUUGCUAUUUGAAAGCCUGGUAUAUGCAGAUCUUUACGUACUGCCGAGGAAUCUCAUCGCGAAACAAAGAACUCGUGGAGGGUAGUUCUUUGCACUGAAUCAUUCACCCAUCCCUGAACAGAUGAAUCGCCAACGUUUGCAUCGGACUGCGAUCGCAACACUCAACUACACGUAGUUACUUAAUUCUCAGAAUAUGCCAUGUGGUCCCAACCUUACGAAAUGUAUAGCAUAUACAUGUACAGGG